rnacentral:rRNA from 1 species
AGAGAGUGCGAGCGUUAAUCGGAAUUACUGGGCGUAAAGCGCACGUAGGUGGGCAUUUAAGUCGGAUGUGAAAGCCCCGGGCUUAACCUGGGAACUGCAUUCGAUGCUGGAUGCCUAGAGUAUGGUAGAGGGAAGUGGAAUUUCCGGUGUAGCGGUGAAAUGCGUAGAUAUCGGAAGGAACACCAGUGGCGAAGGCGACUUCCUGGACCAAUACUGACACUGAGGUGCGAAAGCGUGGGGAGCAAACAGGGAUUAGAGACCCUGGUAGUCCACGCCGUCAACGAUGAGAACUAGACGUUGGGAAGUUUAACUUCUUAGUGUCGUAGCUAACGCGUUAAGUUCUCCGCCUGGGGAGUACGGCCGCAAGGUUA